rfam:Medicago truncatula strain A17 chromosome 1, whole genome shotgun sequence.
AUAUAAGCAAAAAUCCACUCUUUAGAUACAUUCAAUUAAUGAUGUAUGUGGUCCUUAUUAUAUGUCACAUCCAUCAUUAAUUGAAUGUAUCUAAAAAGUAGAAUUUUGCUUAUAU